UUGGAUAUGGAGCCAAAUCGCGUCCAAUCCGAAUUUUAUCAUAAACCGGUGGAGCCAAAGUGCGUCCACUAAUUUUGUACCAGAAACUUUGAUCAUGGUUGGAGCCAAAUUCGCGUCCAACCAAAUUUACACCAUGAACCAAACCGGAAAGGAGCCAAAGCGCAUCCAAUCCCAAUAUCACCGUGAACCUUUAACCGGGGUGGAGCCACAACACGUCCGACCCAAAUUAGAACUGAGGAAUGGAGCCAAAUCGUGUCCAAACCGAGUUUCACCGAGGCACAUCUGCUGGCCUUUCACUUUUGUACCGGGGCACGCAGCCCAUGCGCAUCGCGCGAUUGCGGCACUGCUGGCCGAACUUUUACCGGGGCACGAAGCCCAUGCGCAGAGCGCGACCAUCAUCGAUGCUUUUACCUUCCACCGGGGUAAGACCCAUGCACGCUGCUAAUUUGCAGCGACAUAGGCCAGCCGUUUACCGACGAUGAGAAACUGUCGAUGAAGUUUGGCUGUGUAGAUAUGGUUGUUGCCGGGCGCCGUAAAGCUGUGAAGAUGAAGAGACGGUGGAGAUCAGACGAGCGCCAUGAUGCGCUGCUCACCUUCCUUCGGGUCCUGCUGGAUGCCUCGACGACGCACAGUAACUUGUUGCAGGAGCACCUUCUGGGUCUCCGGCGGUGGCUUCGCUUAUCACGGCAGCAGCUCUGGAUAUGGUGGUUUGCUUUUCUGGCCGGCGAUCAGUGCGGCAGAGAGGAAGCCUGCGGUGGUUUGCUUGAGGG
rnacentral:lncRNA from 1 species